GCUUGUUCGGGCUCUCGGAAGUCCAGGCCACACACCCUUUGCACAUGAUGUCACAAGCAAAGGGGCCAUGGCCUGGGCUACUAAGAGCCGGAAUGAGCCGCAAUGAGCUCUCAGCUCAUCAUUUCAGGCAGCGUUGGCUGCCUGAUAGGACUUUUCCCUUUCUCCAGAGAGGGAGAGGAAGGGAAAAACGUUCUACCGGGCAGUCAGCGCUGCCUGAAAUAACUAGCGCAGAGUUCGCCCGGGGUUUCGGCAGCCCAGGCACGGGUGGGAGGAGUUCACUCUGGGCUCCACUGGAGCCCAAGCCAUGGGGUUUCGGCAGCCUUUUCCAUUGGCAGCCAGAGUUCUUUGAACCCAUUGGCCCAAUGAUGGCUCUGCCCCUGGCUGCCAGGGAAGAGGGCAGUGGUGCUUUAGGCACUGGGUUAGGGGUGUGCCGAACCAGUUCGAAGGUUCAUGUGGCAUGGCUGCCUCCAUUUUCUGCAUCUCUUGACAAAAAUCCUGCCCUUGCUAUUGGUUUUCUGCCACUGUCUUCCAAUUGGCUAGUGAUCUCCUUUAUCCUGGUUGGCUUGUUGACAUUCAAAUCAGAGUGUUGUCAGGACAACUCUGCCCCUAUUGGCUGGGGGAGGAGAGGGAUGAGGGAGUGGAGCACAAAGGAGGUCAUUUCAAAGUGUAUUUAGAGUGUACUUCACUCUGCCUCUGGAUCUCUGGAGGAGGACCUAGUUGCCUGCCUUUGCAGGACCUGCUGCUGCCGCUGCUACUGUCACCCUUAUUGUAACUACUGCUGCUCCUGCUGCUGCCUUUGCUGGACCUUCUUGUUGGGAUAUGGAACAGCUGCAUCCUAACUUACUGUGUAUAGUUUGCAUGUAAUCUGCUAUGAUGCCAGGGGGGCCCCGGUAGUUUCCUCUGUACUGGUUGGGCUAGUUAGGAGUUUUUAUUCUCCCUCUUGUUCCUGUGCUUUUCUUUCUGUGUGAGUCAGCAAGUUCUGUACUGAUCUCUAAGUGCCUCUUCGGGUUGUCUCACAAGUAAAGUUAUCUUAAACCUUUAUCCGGUGUUUGUUCUGAAAACCACGCAGACAGCUUGCAUUCUGCAACAUUUCUGCCUUUGCUGGACCUGCUGGAAUGGAGAGAUGGCUUGGGUGGUUGAUACAAUUGCUCCCAGGUGCCCUCUCCCUCAAAGCAUAGGGAGCCAGCAUAGCAUAGUGGUUAGAGUGUUGGACUAGGACCAGGAAGACCCGAGUUUGAAUCCCCAUUUAGCUAUGAAACUCACUGGGUGACUCUGGGCCGUCAUGUAUCUCUCAACCUAACCUAACUCACAGGGUUGUGGUGAGGAUAAAAAUAAGCAUGUAUACUGCUCUGAGCUCCUCAGAGGAAGAGUGGGAUACAAAUGUAAAUAAAUAAAUAAAUAAAAUACAGCAGAGCCCAUGCAACACCUUGGUAUACACCUGACCUGAGGACAAUGAAGCAAGCUGGGAGACAGCUGGAACGUAAGUAGAAGAAAACUUGGGGUGAAUCUGGGUGAACACAGGCAGCAGCAGCAGAUUUGCAGGAGGGCCAAAAGUUGAGCUUCCCUGCCCUUAGGGGAUGGGGCCCUAACUCAGUGGUAGAGCAUCUACUUGGCAUGCAGACGAUCCCAGGUUCUCUCCUUGAUAUCUCCAGGUAGGGCUGGGAGAGACUCCUGCCUGCAACCUUGGAGAGCUACUGCCAGCCAGUGUAGACCAUGGUGAGCUGGAUGGACCAAGGGUCUGACUCAUUAUAAAGCAGCUUUCCUUGUAUCUAUACAUACCCAGCAGUUGUACUCAGCUGUUUGAUGAGGUCGGUGGAAAAGACCUUGUACCCCGCUUGAGCCUCACACACAAUCACAUCCUCCCGCUCCUACCUUGCUUUUCCCUUGCAGAUGAUCAAAACCCAGGAGCGCACACAGCUCCUGAACGUGGCUAGCACACUUGUCCUACCCAACUGAGGAUUGUGAGAACAGUCCAAAUGGUGUGUUUGUGAAGGUUGGCCUACACUCUCAGAUACAUGGUUGUGUUUUGACUUCUGGCCACUGUGGCCGAGGAUGGUGGGAGUUGUAGUCCAACACCUUCGACCACUGUGGCAGGAAUGAUGGGAGCUGUAGUCCAACAACAUGUGGGGACCAAAAGCUGGGGGCUCCUGUUACAAGAGUCCAAGGGUGAACUACAGCUCCCAUCAUCCUCAGCCACAAUGGCUAUGGGUACUGGACUACAACUCCCAUCAUUCUCAGGCACAAUGAUCAAAGGUGAGGGGAGUUGCAAUCCAGCACCUUCAGCCAUUGUGGCUGGGGAUGAUGGGAGUUGUAGUUCAGCAACAUCUGGGGACACAAAGGCUGGGAAAUCUUAUUUAGUGCUAGCCUGGUGCUGUACAAAACAUAGCUAUCAUUUUGAUUCUUCAUCCAGCAGAAUCUAGAGGUAAAGUGCUUCCUAGAUAAUACCACUUCAGGCCAAGGAGCCAGCAUAGUGUAGUAGUCAGUGUGUUGGACAAAGACCAGGGCAACCCAAGUUCGAAUCCCCAUUCAACCAUGAAACUCAAUGGGUGACGAUGGGCCAGUCAUGUAUCUCUCAGCCUAACGCACCUCACAGGGUUGUUGUGAGGAUAAAAAUGAGCAUGUGCGCCACUCUGAGCUCCUCGGAGGAAGAGCGGGAUAUAAAUGUGAUAAAUGAAUAAAUAAAAUCAUUGCAUAGAGUGCAACUGACUUCUGAGUAAACAUGCACAAGAUUGGACUGUGUCUCUUUUUUUCUCUAGGCCAGGUUAUGUACCUCUAAUGUUUUGACCUAUGAUGAGUGGAAGACCCUGACUUGGGACAGGAGGUUGCUCUUAAGGAACAUGUAGUUCUUUCACUCUUUGUGAUUUUGCUCGAUCAGCUAUUCUUCUAAGUAUAAGAGCUUUUCCCCCAUGAGGGAGCAACCAGGUAAAGCCUCCACUUACAACCUGCAGUGGUGCAGCAAGGAAAUGGGACUCUGCUAAAUGUAUACACUGAGCUUUCUAAGAAUGAUCCCUGGCAGCCAAGUUGAAGAACUAGUCAAUACAUCUCUUGGAAUAUCUUCCAUUUUUAAAUGUUUCGCAAACAAUUUUCAAAUCAUGUACAUAUUUUUUGUCUUUACUUCUAGAUCUCAUGAAGCAAGUCAAGAGACUGGAAGUGGCAGACCCUCUGUACAGGAUACUACAUUAGACCACCUUCAACCAGCUCCUCCCCCAUGAGAGAAAGUGAGACCAUGGGACAAUCACAACAAUGGUAUCUCCUUGGCCAGUUCCACAAUGUCUUCCCAGACAUGGACAAACUGAUUGCAUCUACGGAACCUUUUUUUCUGGACUGCUUCUGUCCAAAGGGCUGCCAACAGGAAGCAGUCUGUGGAAACCAGCUCCACAAGAGAUGUACUUUUGGAGCUGUUUCUGCUAGGAAAUGAUGGGAACUGAGGAAAUCCAAAAUGUUGGAUGUUCAUUUCAGGAUGGAGCUAAGGACACUGCAAUACAGAAAGUAGCAUCUGUCCUGCUUCAUCGUCACUGGUGCCUAUGAAGAUCUUGUUGAAGAAGAAAAGGGCAGUAGUAAUUUCUUUGGGUUUGGGAAUGGAAAUCUAGGCAGAGGAGGAGCUAAGAAACCUGACUUGGUUCUUAUUAGUUAGUCAAGAGGUCAUGACUUCAAAGGAGAGGACGAGGGGGUCUUGUACCAAAGGGUCAGGGGGAGGAGAAAUCCUUCUGUGUAGAAGGAGCCUCUGAGCUGAAAGGCUUCUCUUUGGAGAGUGAUUUUCCUAAGGAGACCAUGCAAUGUGUCAACCCAAGGUCUUAAGCCACUAAGCUAUUCCUAAAGGAAGGAUCCCAAAGCUCACCUGCAAGAAAUUAAGAAUGGGGAUGUGGAGUAAUUACAAAGAGGGCACUUCUUUCUUGGGCAUGUGAAGAGUGAUUCUCCUUAACAUGGAGUAACCAUGGCAAUAUACACAUUCAUGUUUAGGAAUGCUAGGAAAGCCAGCCCCAGGGUAAGACAGGGAACUUGCAUGCUAGCUGGAGUCCUGGUGACUCUCACUGGAGAAAAUAAAGUAAGUCAGAUCAAUUUAUUCCCCAAAUACCCGAUCUCUUGUUCCAUCAGUCUCUCCCUCAUCCAUUUGAAUGUUCACCUUGAUAGGUUUUUCUCCUCCAUGAAACUGUAUAGCAACACAUCAUUAUCAGCCGUUUCUGACAGAAAUGGGAGGCUAUUUGCAGCUUUGAAGUGUAUUUUCUCAUCAAAACGUUUAUGCUACAUUCUGAUCUAUGUUGUACAGGAUAAUUUGAGAUUUGGUUAUUGUUUGUUUAGGUUUUUAUUGGAAAUGUAGAGAUGAUCUUUGGUGCUAUAAAGUUUUGAAACAAUGAA